rnacentral:rRNA from 1 species
CCUACGGGGGACAGCAGUGAGGAAUAUUGGUCAAUGGACGAGAGUCUGAACCAGCCAAGUAGCGUGAAUGAUGACUGCCCUAUGGGUUGUAAACUUCUUUUAUAAAGGAAUAAAACGAGGCACGUGUGCCUGUUUGCAUGUACUUUAUGAAGAAGGAGCGGCUAACUCCGUGCCAGCAGCCGCGGUAAUACGGAGGAUCCGAGCGUUAUCCGGAUUUAUUGGGUUUAAAGGGAGCGUAGAUGGGUUGUUAAGUCAGUUGUGAAAGUUUGCGGCUCAACCGUAAAAUUGCAAUUGAUACUGGCAGUCUUGAGUACAGUUGCGGUAGGCGGAAUUCGUGGUGUAGCGG